rnacentral:rRNA from 1 species
GGCUAACGCUGGCGGCGUGUCUUAGCCAUGCAAGUCGAGCGGACUUAUGGGGUAACUUAUAAGUCAGCGGCGGACGGCGGAGUAACACGUAGCUAACCUACCCUCUGGACGGGGAUAACCUACCGAAAGGUGGGCUAAUACCCGAUGUAGUCAUCCUGUAUAGGGGUGAUGAAAGGUGGGCUUCUGUUUACAAGCUCAUGCUGGAGGAGGAGCCUGCGUCCUAUCAGCUUGUUGGCAGGGUAAUGGCCUACCAAGGCUAUGACGGGUAGCCGGCCUGAGAGGGUGUCCGGCCACACUGGAACUGAGACACGGUCCAGACUCCUACGGGAGGCAGCAGUGGGGAAUUUUGCGCAAUGGGGGAAACCCUGACGCAGCGACGCCGCGUGGAGGAUGACGGCCUUCGGGGUGUAAACUGCUGUCGUGUAGGGAGAAGGGUACUAAGGUGAACAAUCUUAGUACUUGACGGUACUACAGGAGGAAGCCCAGGCUAACCUCGUG